UACGUAGGUGGCAAGCGUUGUCCGGAUUUACUGGGCGUAAAGAGCGCGCAGGCGGUCGUUCAAGUCGCGUGUGAAAGCCCCCGGCUCAACUGGGGAGGGUCACGCGAUACUGAUCGACUCGAAGGCAGGAGAGGGAAGUGGAAUUCCCGGUGUAGUGGUGAAAUUCGUAGAUAUCGGGAGGAACACCGGUGGCGAAGGCGGCGACCUGGGUAGAUACUGACGCUGAGGUGCGAAAGCGUGGGGAGCAAACAGG
rnacentral:rRNA from 1 species